UCUUCUCACUCUAUUACUCAAACCCUCAAUCCUUAAAGGAGGUUUAACAUCCCCACAAGUUUAAAUUUCUCAAACUCCUACAAAUUCUUUUGGUUGAGAUUUUUGGGUUAGGGUUUGUGUUCUAAGGGAGGAAAAAGGGUACCCAUCUCUUGAAAGUGGUUUAUUGAGACUCAUUGAGGUAAAUGCACAACUCUAAUCCUAGCAUGAAUUCACAGAGAAAUGUAGUUUUGAGUAAAAAUCUUAUUUCGUGUUUAGAGUAUAUUUAAAUGAUGUUGAUAGUUUCCUAGAGGUAGUUAAACUUUAGAAUAAAUUUCUCUAAAGUUUUGGAAAUAUUUUUUAUACUCAGAUUUGUCAACUGAGACCUUGCCGGCUACUCUGAGAGUUGUUGGAGAGCAAACUUAGACGAUUCUCCAUAAC
rnacentral:lncRNA from 1 species